rnacentral:misc_RNA from 1 species
GGUGUCACUAGCAUCAGUCUGAAGAAUCCGAUGUCCUAUGCUGUGAAUCUUUAGAGGUGACGGACUUAAAGCCACUCAUUUUAAUGCUUUGACUGCAUCUGUUUGUUCUUUCUUCCAAGGUGGAGCAGUCUUCUUAAACAUUUUUUAUAGCUGGCUGGUGUGGGUAACCACAUGAGGAAUAAACUUCCUGAUGUAAUUGAUA